rnacentral:rRNA from 1 species
GACGAACUGCCCUAACGCUGUUCGGAAUCACUGGGCAUAAAGGGCGCGUAGGCGGCGAAUCAAGUCAGGGGUGAAAUCCGGCAGCUCAACUGUCGAAGUGCCUUUGAUACUGAUUUGCUCGAGGGAGGUAGGGGUCUGUGGAACUUCUGGUGGAGCGGUGAAAUGCGUUGAUAUCAGAAGGAACGCCGGUGGCGAAAGCGACGGACUGGACCUUUUCUGACGCUGAGGCGCGAAAGCUAGGGGAGCAAACGGG